GACGAACGCUGGCGGCGUGCUUAGCACAUGCAAGUCGAACGGUGAAGCUCCAGCUUGCUGGAGUGGAUCAGUGGCGAACGGGUGAGUAACACGUGAGCAACCUGCCCCUGACUCUGGAAUAAGCGCUGGAAACGGCGUCUAAUACUGGAUACGAGAAGGGUCCGCAUGGGCACUUUCUGGAAAGUUUUGCGGUUGGGGAUGGGCUCGCGGCCUAUCAGCUUGUUGGUGAGGUAAUGGCUCACCAAGGCGACGACGGGUAGCCGGCCUGAGAGGGCGACCGGCGACACUGGGACUGAGACACGGCGCAGACUCCUACGGGAGGCAGCAGUGGGGAAUAUUGCACAAUGGGCGAGAGCCUGAUGCAGCGACGCCGCGUGUGGGAUGACGGCCUUCGGGUUGUAAACCUCUUUCAGCAGGGAAGAAGCGAAAGUGACGGUACCUGCAGAAGAAGCACCGGCUAACUACGUG
rnacentral:rRNA from 1 species